AGUGAACGCUGGCGGCGUGCCUAAUACAUGCAAGUCGAACGAACGCACGGUAAGCUUUCUCCUCUGAGGGUAGCGACGGGCGGGUGAGUAAGACGUGGAUCACCUACCUAUAUGACUUGGGUAACUUCGUAAGGACAGUGCUGAUACCAGAUCAUAUAUUGAACGGCAUGGUUCAAGAGUUAAUCACAGUUUUGGUGUCAGUUAUAGCUGGAUCCGCUCUGCAUUAUCUAGUGGGUAAGGUAAAGGCUUACCAAGGCGACGAUGCGUAGCCGACCUGUGAGGGUGAUCAGCGACACUGGAACUGAGACACGGUCCAGACACCUACAGGAGGCAGCGGUGGGGAAUAUUUCACGAUGUGCGCAAGCCUGAGCCAGCCAAACCGCGUGGGUGAGGAAGGGCUUCGGGUCGUAAAACACUUUUGUUGGGGAGGAAAAGAAGUGUGUUAAUACCUCGGCAUGCUGACAGUACCCAAAGAAAAAGCGCCGGCUAACUCCGUG
rnacentral:rRNA from 1 species